CAGUAGCCGCGGUAAUACGUAGGGUGCGAGCGUUAAUCGGAAUUACUGGGCGUAAAGCGAGCGCAGACGGUUAUUUAAGCAGGAUGUGAAAUCCCCGGGCUUAACCUGGGAACUGCGUUCUGAACUGGAUAGCUAGAGUGUGUCAGAGGGGGGUAGAAUUCCACGUGUAGCAGUGAAAUGCGUAGAGAUGUGGAGGAAUACCGAUGGCGAAGGCAGCCCCCUGGGAUAACACUGACGUUCAUGCUCGAAAGCGUGGGUAGCAAACAGGAUUAGAUACCCGGGUAGUCCCUGUCUCUUAUAC
rnacentral:rRNA from 1 species